AUGAACGCUGGCGGCGUGCUUAACACAUGCAAGUCGAACGAAGCACUUAAGUUUGAUUCUUCGGAUGAAGACUUUUGUGACUGAGUGGCGGACGGGUGAGUAACGCGUGGGUAACCUGCCUCAUACAGGGGGAUAACAGUUAGAAAUGGCUGCUAAUACCGCAUAAGACCACAGCACCGCAUGGUGCAGGGGUAAAAACUCCGGUGGUAUGAGAUGGACCCGCGUCUGAUUAGCUGGUUGGUGGGGUAACGGCCUACCAAGGCGACGAUCAGUAGCCGACCUGAGAGGGUGACCGGCCACAUUGGGACUGAGACACGGCCCAAACUCCUACGGGAGGCAGCAGUGGGGAAUAUUGCACAAUGGGGGAAACCCUGAUGCAGCGACGCCGCGUGAAGGAUGAAGUAUUUCGGUAUGUAAACUUCUAUCAGCAGGGAAGAAAAUGACGGUACCUGACUAAGAAGCCCCGGCUAACUACGUGCCAGCAGCCGCGGUAAUACGUAGGGGGCAAGCGUUAUCCGGAUUUACUGGGUGUAAAGGGAGCGUAGACGGUAUGGCAAGUCUGAUGUGAAAGGCCAGGGCUCAACCCUGGGACUGCAUUGGAAACUGUCGAACUAGAGUGUCGGAGAGGCAAGUGGAAUUCCUAGUGUAGCGGUGAAAUGCGUAGAUAUUAGGAGGAACACCAGUGGCGAAGGCGGCUUGCUGGACGAUGACUGACGUUGAGGCUCGAAAGCGUGGGGAGCAAACAGGAUUAGAUACCCUGGUAGUCCACGCCGUAAACGAUGACUACUAGGUGUCGGGUAGCAGAGCUAUUCGGUGCCGCAGCCAACGCAAUAAGUAGUCCACCUGGGGAGUACGUUCGCAAGAAUGAAACUCAAAGGAAUUGACGGGGGCCCGCACAAGCAGUGGAGUAUGUGGUUUAAUUCGAAGCAACGCGAAGAACCUUACCAAGGCUUGACAUAUACAGGAAUAUUUAAGAGAUUAAAUAGCUCUUCGGAGUCUGUAUACAGGUGGUGCAUGGUUGUCGUCAGCUCGUGUCGUGAGAUGUUGGGUUAAGUCCCGCAACGAGCGCAACCCCUAUCUUUAGUAGCCAGCGGUUUGGCCGGGCACUCUAGAGAGACUGCCAGGGAUAACCUGGAGGAAGGUGGGGAUGACGUCAAAUCAUCAUGCCCCUUAUGAGCAGGGCUACACACGUGCUACAAUGGCGUAAACAAAGGGAAGCGAGCCUGCGAGGGUAAGCAAAUCUCAAAAAUAACGUCUCAGUUCGGAUUGUAGUCUGCAACUCGACUACAUGAAGCUGGAAUCGCUAGUAAUCGCGAAUCAGAAUGUCGCGGUGAAUACGUUCCCGGGUCUUGUACACACCGCCCGUCACACCAUGGGAGUUGGUAACGCCCGAAGUCAGUGACCCAACCGCAAGGAGGGAGCUGCCGAAGGUGGGACCGAUAACUGGGGUG
rnacentral:rRNA from 1 species